UGGGGAAUAUUGCACAAUGGGCGAAAGCCUGAUGCAGCGACGCCGCGUGAGCGAAGAAGUAUUUCGGUAUGUAAAGCUCUAUCAGCAGGGAAGAAAAUGACGGUACCUGACUAAGAAGCACCGGCUAAAUACGUGCCAGCAGCCGCGGUAAUACGUAUGGUGCAAGCGUUAUCCGGAUUUACUGGGUGUAAAGGGAGCGUAGACGGCUCAGUAAGUCUGAAGUGAAAGCCCGGGGCUCAACCCCGGGACUGCUUUGGAAACUAUUGGGCUAGAGUGCCGGAGAGGUAAGCGGAAUUCCUAGUGUAGCGGUGAAAUGCGUAGAUAUUAGGAGGAACACCAGUGGCGAAGGCGGCUUACUGGACGGUAACUGACGUUGAGGCUCGAAAGCGUGGGGAGCAAACAGG
rnacentral:rRNA from 2 species